AACUGAGCUUGGCAGAGCAAGGAUGUGAACAAUUGUGCAGGUGGGCUACUCAGGGCGAGUGAAGAGAUAAGGCAUCCAAUCAGGGACGGGCAACCUGCAGCCCUGCCAGUAUGUCCCUCUACCAGAUUUCUGUAAUCCCAGCACGGGAGACUGCCAGCACUGGGAGAAGUUCAAUGGGCAGAAACAAAGAGAAGAACAAGGAAGUCGAGAAUUCCAGAGAUUGAAAAGGGAUAAGAGGAAGGAGAAAAUGCUGGGCUGGUGUGAAGCAAUAGCCCGUAACCCUCACAGAAUUCCAAACAACACGCGAACACCCGAGAUCUCAGGGGACUUGGCUGAUGCCUCACAAAACUCCACAUUGGUGAGUGAAAACUUAUUUUUCCUCAAAAAGGCUUGUAUGUAAAUG
rnacentral:lncRNA from 1 species